AUUGAACGCUGGCGGAAUGCUUUACACAUGCAAGUCGAACGGUAGAGGGGGCAACCCCUUGAGAGUGGCGAACGGGUGAGUAAUAUAUCGGAACGUGCCCAGUCGUGGGGGAUAACGUAGCGAAAGUUACGCUAAUACCGCAUACGAUCUACGGAUGAAAGCGGGGGGACUCGCAAGAGCCUCGCGCGAUUGGAGCGGCCGAUAUCAGAUUAGGUAGUUGGUGGGGGUAAAGGCUCACCAAGCCAACGAUCUGUAGCUGGUCUGAGAGGACGACCAGCCACACUGGAACUGAGACACGGUCCAGACUCCUACGGGAGGCAGCAGUGGGGAAUUUUGGACAAUGGACGCAAGUCUGAUCCAGCCAUUCCGCGUGCAGGAUGAAGGCCCUCGGGUUGUAAACUGCUUUUGUACGGAACGAAAAGGUUUCUAUUAAUACUAGGGGCUCAUGACGGUACUGUAAGAAUAAGCACCGGCUAACUACGUG
rnacentral:rRNA from 1 species